rnacentral:rRNA from 1 species
UACGUAGGGUGCAAGCGUUAAUCGGAUUUACUGGGCGUAAAGCGUGUGUAGGCGGCUUGGCAAGUUGGAUGUGAAAGCCCACGGCUCAACCGUGGAAGCGCAUCCAAAACUGCUUCGCUCGAGUCUCGGAGAGGAAGGUGGAAUGCUUGGUGUAGAGGUGAAAUUCGUAGAUAUCAAGCAGAACACCUGCGGCGAAGGCGGCCUUCUGGACGAUGACUGACGCUGAGACACGAAAGCGUGGGGAGCAAACAGG